CCUACGGGUGGCUGCAGUGAGGAAUAUUGGUCAAUGGGCGGAAGCCUGAACCAGCCAAGUCGCGUGAGGGAAUAAGGCCCUACGGGUCGUAAACCUCUUUUGUCGGGGAGCAAGGGCGGGGACGUGUCCCGGCCCGGAGAGUACCCGGAGAAAAAGCAUCGGCUAACUCCGUGCCAGCAGCCGCGGUAAUACGGAGGAUGCGAGCGUUAUCCGGAUUUAUUGGGUUUAAAGGGUGGGUAGGCGGGCUUUUAAGUCAGCGGUAAAAAUUCGGGGCUCAAACCCGUCCGGCCGUUGAAACUGGGGGCCUUGAGUGGGCGAGAAGAAGGCGGAAUGCGUGGUGUAGCGGUGAAAUGCUUAGAUAUGACGAAGAACCCCGAUUGCGAAGGCAGCUUGCUGCAGCGGAACUGACGCUGAUGCUCGAAAGCGCGGGUAUCGAACAGGAUUAGAUACCCGGGUAGUC
rnacentral:rRNA from 1 species